UAGCCUGAAAUGAUGUUAGGAAUUCAUGUCUCUUCUCUGAGAUGCAUCGUGGAGACAGCUGGAUGCAUUUCUGAUCAGGCUU
rnacentral:snoRNA from 1 species